UAGGGAAUCUUCGGCAAUGGACGAAAGUCUGACCGAGCAACGCCGCGUGAGUGAAGAAGGUUUUCGGAUCGUAAAACUCUGUUGUUAGAGAAGAACAAGGACGUUAGUAACUGAACGUCCCCUGACGGUAUCUAACCAGAAAGCCACGGCUAACUACGUGCCAGCAGCCGCGGUAAUACGUAGGUGGCAAGCGUUGUCCGGUUUUAUUGGGCGUAAAGCGAGCGCAGGCGGUUUCUUAAGUCUGAUGUGAAAGCCCCCGGCUCAACCGGGGAGGGUCAUUGGAAACUGGGAGACUUGAGUGCAGAAGAGGGGAGUGGAACUCCAUGUGUAGCGGUAAAAUGCGUAGAUAUAUGGAGGAACAGCAGUGGCGAAGGCGGCUCUCUGGACUGUAACUGACGCUGAGGCUCGAAAGCGUGGGGAGCAAACAGG
rnacentral:rRNA from 1 species